rnacentral:rRNA from 1 species
UGACUGCUAAUACCGCAUAAGCGCACAGAACCGCAUGGUCGGUGUGAAAAACUCCGGUGGUAUAAGAUGGACCGCGUUGGAUUAGCUAGUUGGUAGGGCAGCGGCCUACCAAGGCGACGAUCCAUAGCCGGCCUGAGAGGGUGAACGGCCACAUUGGGACUGAGACACGGCCCAGACUCCUACGGGAGGCAGCAUG